CGGGGUAUAGUGUAGCGGAUAUCAUGGCAGACUGCGAUGUUGCCAACCCGGGUUCGAAUCCCGGUACCCCGGCCA
rnacentral:tRNA from 2 species